GAGCGGCAGCACGGGUACUUGUACCUGGUGGCGAGCGGCGGACGGGUGAGUAAUGCCUAGGAAUCUGCCUGGUAGUGGGGGAUAACGCUCGGAAACGGACGCUAAUACCGCAUACGUCCUACGGGAGAAAGCAGGGGACCUUCGGGCCUUGCGCUAUCAGAUGAGCCUAGGUCGGAUUAGCUAGUUGGUGAGGUAAUGGCUCACCAAGGCGACGAUCCGUAACUGGUCUGAGAGGAUGAUCAGUCACACUGGAACUGAGACACGGUCCAGACUCCUACGGGAGGCAGCAGUGGGGAAUAUUGGACAAUGGGCGAAAGCCUGAUCCAGCCAUGCCGCGUGUGUGAAGAAGGUCUUCGGAUUGUAAAGCACUUUAAGUUGGGAGGAAGGGCAGUUACCUAAUACGUAUCUGUUUUGACGUUACC
rnacentral:rRNA from 1 species